AUUGAACGCUGGCGGCAGGCCUAACACAUGCAAGUCGAGCGGUUGAGAGUAGUUUGCUACUUGAUGCAGCGGCGGACGGGUGAGUAAUGCAUGGGAAUCUGCCUGGUAGUGGGGGACAACGUUUCGAAAGGAACGCUAAUACCGCAUACGCCCUACGGGGAAAGGGGGGAUCUUCGGACCUCUCGCUAUCAGAUGAGCCCAUGUCAGAUUAGCUAGUUGGGGGGUAAAGGCCCACCAAGGCGACGAUCUGUAACUGGUCUGAGAGGAUGAUCAGUCACACUGGAACUGAGACACGGUCCAGACUCCUACGGGAGGCAGCAGUGGGGAAUAUUGGACAAUGGGGCGAAAGCCUGAUCCAGCCAUGCCGCGUGUGUGAAGAAGGCCU
rnacentral:rRNA from 1 species